rnacentral:rRNA from 1 species
AUUGAACGCUGGCGGCAGGCCUAACACAUGCAAGUCGAGCGGAUGAAGGGGGCUUGCUCCUGGAUUCAGCGGCGGACGGGUGAGUAAUGCCUAGGAAUCUGCCUGGUAGUGGGGGAUAACGUCCGGAAACGGGCGCUAAUACCGCAUACGUCCUGAGGGAGAAAGUGGGGGAUCUUCGGACCUCACGCUAUCAGAUGAGCCUAGGUCGGAUUAGCUAGUUGGUGGGGUAAAGGCCUACCAAGGCGACGAUCCGUAACUGGUCUGAGAGGAUGAUCAGUCACACUGGAACUGAGACACGGUCCAGACUCCUACGGGAGGCAGCAGUGGGGAAUAUUGGACAAUGGGCGAAAGCCUGAUCCAGCCAUGCCGCGUGUGUGAAGAAGGUCUUCGGAUUGUAAAGCACUUUAAGUUGGGAGGAAGGGCAGUAAGUUAAUACCUUGCUGUUUUGACGUUACCAACAGAAUAAGCGCCGGCUAACUUCGU